AUGGUGUUUCAGUGGAAGGAAUUUAAGGGGGUGUAUUCAAUCCAGACUUUUAAAGAGUUUUAAUGACUUUUAACGACUUUCAAAGUUUGGUGGUAUUCAAUUUAGACUUUUAAAGACUCUUUAAAAGUCUACCUGUAUUCGAUUCAGACUUUUCAGAAGUCUUUAAAAGUAUACAGGUAUUCGUUUCAGACUUUUAUAGAGUCUUUAAAA